CAUGUGCUUGCCCUUGGAUAGGUGCAACCCAUCCAGAAUUCGGGUUUCCUUGUGAUGGCCCUGGACCAGAAGGUCCCCAAUUCAUGUUUGUAUUCGUUGGUAUUGGUCCCCAGCUAAUGUUUGGAUUUCCAGGCAUUGGCCCCCAACCACUAUUUUGGUUCUCUGGUCCUUGCCUUGGUACAUUACUUUGGUUGUCUGUAAUACCUACACCCCAAGGUAAGUUUGGCAGUGG
rnacentral:lncRNA from 1 species